AUGAAGAAAUUUAAUCCAAAUUUUUCCCUUUUUUUAUUGAGAAAUGUCCCAGUUUGGGCUGAGGGGUCACUCAGUGGUCACUCAGUGGUCACUCAUUGGUCACUCAGCGGUCACUCAGUGGUCACUUCCAGGCCAAUCCAGUGGUCACUCAGUGGUCACUCAGUGGUCACUCAGUGGUCACUCAGUGGUCACUCAGUGGUCACUCAGUGGUCACUCAGUGGUCACUCAUUGGUCACUCAGUGGUCACUCAGGGGUCACUCAAUGGUCACUCAUUGGUCACUCAUUGGUCACUCAGCGGUCACUCAGGGGUCACUCAUUGGUCACUCAGGGGUCACCGCGGGGUCAAAGGUCACUGACCUGCUCGCCCAGGUUGCUGAAGGCGUUCCCGUAGGCCCCGCCCCCCACAAGCCCCUCCCCCAGCGCCAGCGCCGCGGCCACGCCCAGCCCGGGCAGGAGGUGAUUGACAGCCACGGCGGCCAAUAGGAACGAGG
rnacentral:lncRNA from 1 species